ACGGAGGAUCCAAGCGUUAUCCGGAUUUACUGGGUUUAAAGGGUGCGUAGGCGGAGUGAUAAGUCAGUGGUGAAAGCCUACAGCUUAACUGUAGAACUGCCAUUGAUACUGCCAGUCUGGAGUAUGGUUGAGGUAGCUGGAAUGUGUCAUGUAGCGGUGAAAUGCUUAGAGAUGACACGGAACACCAAUGGCGAAGGCAGGUUACUAAACUAUUACUGACGCUGAGGCACGAAAGCGUGGUGAGCAAACAG
rnacentral:rRNA from 1 species